UACGGGGGGGACAAGCGUUGUUCGGAAUUACUGGGCGUAAAGGGCGCGUAGGCGGUUCGCUAAGUUGGAUGUGAAAACUCUGGGCUCAACCCAGAGCCUGCAUCCAAAACUGGCGGGCUAGAGUUCUGGAGGGGGUAGCGGAAUUCCUGGUGUAGCGGUGAAAUGCGUAGAUAUCAGGAGGAACACCGGUGGCGAAGGCGGCUACCUGGACAGAAACUGACGCUGAGGCGCGAAAGCUAGGGGAGCAAACAGG
rnacentral:rRNA from 1 species